UACGUAGGGAGCAAGCGUUGUCCGGAAUCAUUGGGCGUAAAGCGCGCGUAGGUGGCCCAGUAAGUCCGUUCUGAAAGUCACAGGCUCAACCUGUGAAAGCGGAUGGAUACUGCUGGGCUAGAGUCCGGAAGAGGCGAGUGGAAUUCCUGGUGUAGCGGUGGAAUGCGCAGAUAUCAGGAGGAACACCAACGGCGAAGGCAGCUCGCUGGGACGGUACUGACACUAAGGCGCGAAAGCGUGGGGAGCGAACAGG
rnacentral:rRNA from 1 species